GAUGAAGAACGCAGCGAAAUGCGAUAAGUAAUGCGAAUUGCAGAAUUCAGUGAAUCAUCGAGUCUUUGAACGCACAUUGCGCCCCCUGGUAUUCCGGGGGGCAUGCCUGUCCGAGCGUCAUUGCUGCCCUCAAGCACGGCUUGUGUGUUGGGCCUCCGUCCUCCUCCCGGGGGACGGGCCCGAAAGGCAGCGGCGGCACCGCGUCCGGUCCUCGAGCGUAUGGGGCUUCGUCACCCGCUCUUGUAGGCCCGGCCGGCGCUUGCCGACACAUCAAUCUUUUUUCCAGGUUGACCUCGGAUCAGGUAGGGAUACCCGCUGAACUUAAGCAUAUCAAUAAGCGGAGGA
rnacentral:misc_RNA from 1 species